UAAAACCCAACUCAGUCAGUCAUUCAGUCAUGAUGUUUUGAUUAACAUGCAUGUAAUAUAGUGUGUUUAAUUUUGUUUGUUUUAAUAUUACAGGCAUCUGAAACUUUCAAACAUUUGUAAUUAAAUGUGAACUAUUCUGAAAUCUUUGCACUGCUGUACCAAUCACAAACUAGAUUAUAUCUUUCAAUGUCAUUAUCAGCUCCAAAUAUAUUGUGUGUUGAUGCAUCAUGAAGGAGGCGGCUAUGUAUGCUUGACAAUGGGCUUUAAUUCAAUUGCAACGAGUCUGGAUUGGUCUGAUAAGUGCAAUGGUUUGGUUCCAAAUUACAUCAUUGUGACUGACCAAUAUGAAAUCUUUAAUAGAGUACUUCAGUGGAUAAAAGAAACUUGGCUUUUCUGUACUUAAAAUAUAUGUGACUAUCAGUUGAAAAACAUUUAGAUCGAACUUCAGGAAAUUUAUUGUGUUGAUUUAUAUUUUUGAAUUUACCCAUUUUUAAAAACAGUACUUCCUUACAUAUCUAAGGAAAUGGUUUCUUUUGUACUUAUGCCAUCAUGAUGUUUUCAUAUCUUUUUCUAAUGUCCAAAAAUUUUCACAUCAUUACCAGUGAAAUAUCACAAAUAUUUGACAAUGAACAUAUUUCAGUCAGCACAGAGUAAGUUCUUGCGAUACUUCCUCUUUCUCUGACUGCUGAGGAAAAUGUCUUGAUCCCUCCAGUGUCCUGGUGCUUGGUGAACCGACGUGUACACCGUCAAUAUUCACACAACACCCACAGUGUACAUGCACCGAUGCUGUAGAAGUUCCUAAGGGUGAUUAUACAGACAGCUGUCAUCAUGCUACCUAGCUGAUAUUGUUUGUCAAGUUUUUACAAAAGUAGAAUUACACUUCUGUUGGUUAAACCUGAAAAACAAAUCUUCAUAAUAACUGAAAUAGGGGCAGUUGGGUAGCCUAGUGGUUAAAGCAUUUGCUUAUCUCGCUGAAGAUCCGGGUUCCAUUCCCCACAUGGGUCCAAUGUGUGAAGCCCAUUUCUGGUGUCCCCCACCAUGAUAUGGCUGGAAUAUUUCUAAAAGCAGCGUAAAACCAUACUCACUCACUCACUGAAGUGUCCUCUUAAGAAUAUGGCGAGAGGCGUGAUAUAAUACUAAUGUGAAGGUAUGUUGUAUUGAUAUAUAACAGAAAUAUUGCACUACAGGUAUUUCCUUUAGAACAGAACAAAUAUUUACAACAGCUAAUGCAGUCAAGGUGUGACUUGGACAUACAGAAAUGUAUAAUGAUACCAAUUUGCCAAGAUAACUGAUGAAACUGUAAGAAAAGUGCUGCAAUUCAAAUGUUUUGAACUGAAAAACAGCAAAUGCCCAAACCAAUAUGUUGUUCAGAAGAUGGUAAUUUUGAAUGAACUAAAAAUUAAUCCCAACAGAAUUGUUUUUACUAGAAAUGAUCAUGAAUACCUAUGUCUUAAUAAACGUUUACCCACCUUCACAUAGAGAAGUAAUCAGACAAGGUAAAUUGUACAUGAGGCAUAUAUCGGUCAACAGACACACUUAACUCGGUAUUGCCAUUAUGCUCUCUGUUUAAUGACACAAGUACAUCUGCUAGCUGCUAUUUCCUUUGCAUAAAUCAUGUAUGAAUGUACCUACUGCAGACACCACAAACAAGCUAGGUUCUUUGGGUGCGGGGACAACACGGCUAUUUGUCAAGUUCAGAGUACAGUUUGAAAUGUUGAACCAAGAGCUUUCAGAAGUCCUGUCUGAUAUUCCUCUGUGACCUGUCACCUUCUUACUGGUAUGUCCACCAUUAUCCUGAACUUUUCAGUGUAGCCAUUGUUUUUCCAAAAGUGGAUGAAGCUGAUGUUAGUUUUACGUGUAUAUAGAUGUAUGAAAUGUUUGUAACACUGUGAUGUUUUACAGUAUUUGCAUUUCUGUAAUUCAGACACUUGAUAUGAUAUGGGUAUUUUGUCCUUUCCACUAACAUGGGUAUGUGUACAGUCCAGGUGUGUACAGUCCAGGCUUAUGAACAACAACAGUUAUUGCAACUGUACUGAGGCAUGAUAUUUUCAUAUCAAUGAACAUAUAGAAUUUCUAGCUUUUGCAUGAUGAGAAGAAAAGCAUUAUUGUAUUAUUGUAUUUUCCAUGUCAAGUGAAAUGGAACAGUCCUUGUACUGAGUUGAUAGGAUAAGCUGUUAUCUGUUUAUGCAUCAAGUAUCCAUGCUCUGUCAUAGUACGAGACAAGCUUGAAGUGAUGUGUAACUCGCAGCUUCUGUAGCAGUAUUAUGUGAUGGUGAUGGUGUUGUUGUUGCCGAUGGUGAUAAUUGUUGACCAAUAGCUGUGCUGGAACACUAGGUCUAUUCUCAGAAGUCAGCGUGUAUUGAGGGGUGUAGUGUUGAGAUGUACUGGGAGGCUGGAUCUGUUAUAGACGAAUAGCUUUAAUAAUACAGGUCACAUCCGGAUGAUUUCACAAUUCUUCUUUUCAGAGACAACUCCAAUUAAGAUCAUUGGGAACAUUAAUGGUCUUUAAUGAUGGCCAUUAGCUAAUCUUCAGCCUCAGAUGAUGAUGUACAAAACUAGUGUUGCCAUUUGUUCCAGGUACAAGUAUUUCUAACAAUGAAAAUUAAAUCCCAUUUCAAGUGAGUGUAAACCCAACAGUUAUAGCAGUUGAUCUGUUGACUUCAGUGUCUAUUGUAACGCCCCCUUGGCUAGGAUGGGAUUUCCUGUUGUAUCAGCCAGCACAGCUCUUUUAACACACAGUUAAUUACCCAGUGAAGAAGGUUAUCAAACACGUGCCUUGUGAAAGCAAUAUUUUGACAUUGCAACUGUUUUCUAAUUUUGCAUGGAAGGUGUUUACAAAGGCGGAGCUUUUCAUGUAUAAUUGUCAUAAAAUGUCUGAAGUAAUCAAAGAGUGAGUGCUUGUUGUAUUGUUGUAUUGUUACUGUUGGUGUUGUUUGUGACGACUGGCUGCACAGUCAGAUAUGGACAACUGUGUGUCUGGAUAUGGUUAGUGUUUCCACACAUGUAUCAGGACUUGGCAUUUAUUGUUGGGGAAGGAAAUAAGGAUUGGGUCACCCAAAACAUUUUGGGAAGGGUCAUGAAAAAGAUGUACAAUUACAUGGUGAUGGUCAUCCAACAUUGUAGCAAGUUUUAGGGGAGGGUCAGUAUUUUCUGUACCUGCCCCUCCACCUCAACUCGACAUACACAUCUCCGCUCGUAGCCCACCCACUUACCCACCCCUGAUAAAAAUGACUGGUCCCUUUGUUCAGAUCGUCAGCAGAUGGUUAUUGUAAUAAUAAGUGAUGACUCUGUUUCUAUUUGUUGUCUGAUGGUUUGUGUACUAGCCAAGCAAGUAGUUAUGAUAUUUUUGUUUUUCAAGUUCACAGUUUCAGUUUGGUGUAGAUAAAACUUGAUCAUCCCUGCUUGUUUACUCCAGAUGUGUUAGAAGACUGAUCUGUUUCAUAAAUACGAAAAACUGUAUCAGAUUUAUCAACAGUUGAAGGUAAUUUUCGAAAACAUUUCUUGGAGAAGUAAACAUGGUUAAGACAGUGGAUGUGAUAAAAGCAAGAAUUUUAUGGAUGUAACCUUCUUUUUUGUGAUGGACACGUUUCAUGAGGUGAUGAAGGACUAAGAAUAUAUAGAAUAAACGUCAUGCCCAUCCCAAUAAAGAAGUUGACAUCCAUAACAUUCUUGCCUUAUAUGUAUCACUUCUAAAUGUCCUUCAAAGACUCCAGUGGAUGUGAUAGUUUUCAUAUGCCCGGUGUUUGUGGAUAUUUAUUUAAACCUUUGAGAAUUAUUGGCUAUGUAUGUGUUAUGGAUGUGGUGUUAUGAGUCUACAUAUAGUACUAUUGCCAAGAACAAAUGUUUGUUGCUGCCUGUGAUGAUUCUUGAAGGAAACUCCACUCAUCAGCUGUGAGAGACAGUUAAACACAAACCUGUCAAGUUUCUUUUUUAUUCUCAGGGGAGAAUACCUCUUUCCACCGUCAAAAACGUGUUUCUUACAAAAUAAUUUUUAUAAAGUAUAUGGUGAGAGGUUUGAGAUGUUUCAGUCUUUACCCAAUUUGACCUCCCUGAACUCGUACUACUCAACAGAAGUAUGGAAUGCCAAUUUUUUCUUGUAUGAAAAACGUUAAUCUGUUAUGUGAUGACUAAAUAUAAUCAUAGGAAAAAUAUCAACUUUCGUUAACUUCCUUUUAGUUGUAUAUUCAUGCUGACUGUGUGAUUGAUCUGUACAAGUCAUCCACUCCAGCAGUUCUUAGCAAUUGUUUAUUAUCUAUUGUAUUUUUAAAAGAGUGACCAUGACUUUGACCAAAUUAUGACUUCUGUAUGAUUCUAGAAGAUAAUACAUAUGUGUCUUCUUUUCUUUAGGCUUAACAUUCAUCAAGGUUUCUUCACAGCUAAAGUAACAAAAUAUUUCUAAAGCCAGACAAAUCUGUUUUCUUGUUCUGGGGUUAUACCAGCCUCAAAUCUGCCUGCACUUUUAGAACAGCAAACUUGAUAGUUUUGUUUCUACUCAUAAGGAACUGGAAUGUGUGGCAAGAGGGGUUCUGUAUGGGUGUUUCAAGAUGUAAGUCUUACUACUGGAUAUGUAUUGCUUCUCUGAUAAUAACAUGAAAUGUCAGUGCUAGAGAAUAUACAGUCUUGAUUAUCCAGCUAAACAGAUUCCAUGUGGCAUUAAAGCCCAAACAGUGCUGAAAACAAUUUCUUGAAGGGAUCACAGGAAAAUCAGUUUAGACACCAGGUGUUAUCGUGAGGAUAAGCAGGAGCAGCCUACCGACAGCUCCAACCACUCACACAAAAAGCUUAAAAUGUGUUUGUUCCCUGAUGCUACACAGCAGUAAUCCUGCUAUACCACAGCAAUGUGUGAACAAAUGUACAAUUAGUCAUAUUUGCUUGUAUCUUCUAUCUUGACAUACAGAGAAACCUCAUAUAUCUGGACCCCCCGCAUUCAGGACAGUCUGCAUCGAAAAAUCUAAACGCCACUAAAGAAACAUUUGCCAAGGAAUUUAUCUUAUUUAUUUUUCGAGCCAGAAAAUUAAUUAUCUCUGUUUUUCUGUGGAUAGGCUUGAAAAUCUGUAAAACAAGAAGUCAGAUUUGUCAGGUUUUAAAUCUUUAAUUUUGGUUUUUGUAAUUGAUGCCAGCUCUUGUUAAUUAUUUAUUUCAACCUGUGUACUGUAGUUGUUGUUAUAUUGUAGGCAGAUAUCCUUGUUAUGAGGAUACAUAUUUAACAUUGUAGAUCAUUGUGUUACUGGUGUACAAAAUGUCAUACAUCAAAAUUACUCAUAAACUAUGUUUUGAGAAUUGCUAUAGUUUUUAGGUGUGGCAGUCAGUUUUCAUAUUUUACUGUCACUCUUAUUUUUCAUUUCCUUUAAAUUGAUGAAUAUAUUGUAAUUAUUCUGACUUUGGUUUUAUGUACAUUGAGCCUUCACUGUUUGCAGUGAUGGGUUGACAUAAUCAGAAGCUGUAGUUCCCAGUGAGACGUUUGUAUAUUGUAUAUAUGUCUAUGAUUUGUAUGCUUUGUGAGAACGUUAUAACAGCGUUGUUGUGUUAGGUCUCUCUACACAGUCCCUGUAUUCAGAGCCAGGGAAAUGAUCAAUUCCGCAGUGUUAUUGGGCAUUUGUUUUCAUAAACUGAUCUAUUGAUAUAUUGUAAUUAACAAGAACAGUGAUCGUUUUAUUCCCAUCGAAUAUGUCAAUAUGCUUCACUAAAAAUAUAUUGUUGUGGCCAUAGGCCUAUUUUCAAGGUCUCUAACCAUUUUGUUAUAAAGGAGAGUGUAUCUUACAUUUGUUACUGGUUCUGGUAUAUUGCUUAGUAGUGAAACUGAUCGUGAUAUUGUUUACCCUGCGAAUUGUACAAUGUACUGACCACUUCGUCUUAAGGUAUUUUCUUCUUAUUUGGAAUGACCUUAUCUGUUUGGAGAUAUAUAUUUAUAAAGCAAGUAUUUUUAAUAAUAUAUUGAAUAUACAAUAAAUUCUCCAACAGCUACUGAAAGUGUAGGGAUAGGGGAUAUGAUUUGUAUUGUGAUACAAAGGCAGUGAUGUGAUAAAUAUCUAGAUCUGUGAUGGUAAUUUCUCUUCGGCCCUGUAUUCAUUACAGCCUAAUGAUUAUGGAUGUAAUUGAAACACUCAGACAUUAUUGUUAAGCAUACUGACGUCUACCAGUUCUGCAGUCGGUGCUUGAUGUGUACCAUAUCAGUUAACUAGGCUGUAAUUCUUCGUAUCAGCCAUCUGUCCACCACACUUCAAAAGUCUUGUGUUAUUUGUUCAGAUUUAAUUUACAAUUAAUUAAUGGUUAAUAUCAGAGCUCAAAUUUUCGACAUCAAUGUUCAGAGCCAUCCCCAGCACUACUUGUGUGUCCCAUGUAAUUUUAGAUACUGAAUCAAGAAACAUAUUGAUAACCCCAGUCUUUUAGUAAUUAUGAUAAAUAUGUACCGGUAGUACAGUACGAAUCAUAUCCAACUAUAAAUAGCCAUUUUAGUUACCAUGGACACCAGAUCCGAUAUACGCUUGACUCCAGUUCGUUGUCACAGAAUCAUGUAUUAAAAGCAUGUUACUUUACAGAAAUUAUUCAUAUGUGAUAUGUAUGGCUUCUCCACCGGCUUGCAUGGAUUUGAUUGCUUCUACACCAUCAGAAGUUAUGCAAACAUUUCCUAAAGCAAUAUGUGUCCUGGGCCAGUAACUGCUUCCAGCAUCAUGAUCAUGUAACAGAGAAACUACAAACCGUAUUCCAUGAGCGUUACACAUGUUUAGUUUUGACUACAAAGGUAAAUUCUGUGAACUGCUUGUAGAGAGAUCAGCAGUGUUCAUAUAUGUAUGUCAACAAUAAACUUUGUAUACAAGUU